rnacentral:rRNA from 1 species
GUGGGGAAUAUUGGACAAUGGGGGCAACCCUGAUCCAGCGACGCCGCGUGAGUGAAGAAGUAUUUCGGUAUGUAAAGCUCUAUCAGCAGGGAAGAAAGAGAACGUAAGUUCUCGUGACGGUACCUGACUAAGAAGCCCCGGCUAACUACGUGCCAGCAGCCGCGGUAAUACGUAGGGGGCAAGCGUUAUCCGGAUUUACUGGGUGUAAAGGGAGCGUAGGUGGCUCGAUAAGUCAGAAGUGAAAGCCCAGGGCUCAACCCUGGGACUGCUUUUGAAACUAUUGUGCUAGAGUGCAGGAGAGGUAAGUGGAAUUCCUAGUGUAGCGGUGAAAUGCGUAGAUAUUAGGAGGAACACCAGUGGCGAAGGCGGCUUACUGGACUGUAACUGACACUGAGGCUCGAAAGCGUGGGGAGCAAACAGGAUUAGAAACCCUAGUAGUCC